UUCCAGGCAAAUCCGGAAAAUCAAGGCUGAGGCGUGAUGACGAGGCACUACGGUGCUGAAGCAACAAAUGCCCUGCUUCCAGGAAAAGCCUCUAAGCAUCAGGUAACAUCAAAUCGUACCCCAAACCGACACAGGUGGUCAGGUAGAGAAUACCAAGGCGCUUGAGAGAACUCGGGUGAAGGAACUAGGCAAAAUGGUGCCGUAACUUCGGGAGAAGGCACGCUGAUAUGUAGGUGAAGUCCCUCGCGGAUGGAGCUGAAAUCAGUCGAA
rnacentral:rRNA from 1 species